CUCAGACUGACUCUGCUCUUCCAAAACACCAGAAUCAGGGUUCUCGAACCUCAGAAUCUGGGUGAACAAGAGAUGAGGAAAGUGAGACUCCAAUUCCUCUGGGUAAUUCACCUGUGCAGAGCCAGCAUUGAAAUCCAGCCAGCCCCAUCAGGCAUACUACUCCGUCUACUAACGUCUAUUUGAAUGUUUCCUAGUCAGGGACCUGCAACCCUAAUUUCGAGACCUCGAAGGGGUCUCAACCUACAGUUUGGAAAAUGCAGUCCUAGAACAUCGAUGUGAAUAAACUUUGCCCUUCCCUCAA